CAUAUGUUAGACUACUCUUUAUAGAGCAGGUGUAGGCAGGUGAUUGGUAGCUGGUGAUUGGUGAUUGGCGGCCAGCCGCGCGUGAUUUGAGUCCUCCUGGUAGAACUACCAGCAAGCUUAACAUUUAUAUAUUCAUGUUGUCUGGUUGAAUGCUGAGUUUUUCUGUUUUAUUUCAAAGUCAUGCUGUCAAUUUCCACCAGGCGUGUAACGGCAGCGUAGCUUGCGAGCCAGACGUAUUCACGUGAGAUCACGAAAUCACGCGAUAAUCCUAAACCUAAUGUACUCACCUUCCACUCCCAAAACUACUGCAAUUUUUGUCCUUAUAAAAAGGGCAAAGCCAGGCAAAGCCAGGCUUCGUCCUUUCUGACAUUGUCCUUAUAAAAAGGAUGAUUUAUUUAAUUUGAUUUUAUAAAUUAUUUAUGUUGAGAUCUUUGUUCUGUGUUCACAUUAAAGGAUUUGAUUAAGCAAUAUUUUUUUUCAGUUUCAGCUCAAUUUAAUUUGCUGAAUGGAGCUGAUAUGGACCUGAAGGAUUCCUCGCGGGUCAAUGUGGAGGCUGAUAUAUUCGACGAACUACUGAGAUCUGCUAAAGUAUCUUUCAAGGUGUCCACUGAGCUCUCUGCUGAGAGCGAGGUGUCAGAUGCCUCCUUCGUCUCAGAAGAGGGGUUGUUCUCACCAUUCCAGCCUGUGAGGUCAUCUUCAUCAGUCGAGUCUGUGAACUCCACAGCUUCAACAGUGAGCCAAAAAGAAUGGAAAAAGUGACAACUGACUGAGGGACCACCUGACU
rnacentral:lncRNA from 1 species